GUCGGCUCUUCCUAUCAU
rnacentral:ncRNA from 2 species